rnacentral:rRNA from 1 species
GACGAACGCUGGCGGCGUGCUUAACACAUGCAAGUCGAACGGAAAGGCCCUGCUUUUGUGGGGUGCUCGAGUGGCGAACGGGUGAGUAACACGUGAGUAACCUGCCCUUGACUUUGGGAUAACUUCAGGAAACUGAGGCUAAUACCGGAUAGGAGCUCCUGCUGCAUGGUGGGGGUUGGAAAGUUUCGGCGGUUGGGGAUGGACUCGCGGCUUAUCAGCUUGUUGGUGGGGUAGUGGCUUACCAAGGCUUUGACGGGUAGCCGGCCUGAGAGGGUGACCGGCCACAUUGGGACUGAGAUACGGCCCAGACUCCUACGGGAGGCAGCAGUGGGGAAUAUUGCACAAUGGGCGGAAGCCUGAUGCAGCAACGCCGCGUGCGGGAUGACGGCCUUCGGGUUGUAAACCGCUUUCGCCUGUGACGAAGCGUGAGUGACGGUAAUGGGUAAAGAAGCACCGGCUAACUACGUGCCAGCAGCCGCGGUGAUACGUAGGGUGCGAGCGUUGUCCGGAUUUAUUGGGCGUAAAGGGCUCGUAGGUGGUUGAUCGCGUCGGAAGUGUAAUCUUGGGGCUUAACCCUGAGCGUGCUUUCGAUACGGGUUGACUUGAGGAAGGUAGGGGGAGAAUGGAAUUCCUGGUGGAGCGGUGGAAUGCGCAGAUAUCAGGAGGAACACCAGUGGCGAAGGCGGUUCUCUGGGCCUUUCCUGACGCUGAGGAGCGAAAGCGUGGGGAGCGAACAGGCUUAGAUACCCUGGUAGUCCACGCUGUAAACGGUGGGUACUAGGUGUGGGGUCCAUUCCACGGGUUCCGUGCCGUAGCUAACGCUUUAAGUACCCCGCCUGGGGAGUACGGCCGCAAGGCUAAAACUCAAAGGAAUUGACGGGGCCCCGCACAAGCGGCGGAGCAUGCGGAUUAAUUCGAUGCAACGCGUAGAACCUUACCUGGGUUUGACAUGGAUCGGGAGUGCUCAGAGAUGGGUGUGCCUCUUUUGGGGUCGGUUCACAGGUGGUGCAUGGCUGUCGUCAGCUCGUGUCGUGAGAUGUUGGGUUAAGUCCCGCAACGAGCGCAACCCUUGUUCACUGUUGCCAGCACGUUAUGGUGGGGACUCAGUGGAGACCGCCGGGGUCAACUCGGAGGAAGGUGGGGAUGACGUCAAGUCAUCAUGCCCCUUAUGUCCAGGGCUUCACGCAUGCUACAAUGGCUGGUACAGAGAGUGGCGAGCCUGUGAGGGUGAGCGAAUCUCGGAAAGCCGGUCUCAGUUCGGAUUGGGGUCUGCAACUCGACCUCAUGAAGUCGGAGUCGCUAGUAAUCGCAGAUCAGCAACGCUGCGGUGAAUACGUUCCCGGGGCU